rnacentral:rRNA from 1 species
AGCAGCCGCGGUAAUUCCAGCUCCAAUAGCGUAUAUUAAAGUUGUUGCAGUUAAAAAGCUCGUAGUUGAAUUUCGGGAUCAGACUGUCGGUCGUGCCUCGGUACGCACUGGCAUUAUUGGUUCCUACCUUCUGAAGAACCGCGAUGUCAUUAAUUUGGUGUCGCGGGGAAUCAGGACUGUUACUUUGAAAAAAUUAGAGUGUUUAAAGCAGGCUUACGCUUGAAUACAUUAGCAUGGAAUAAUGAAAUAGGACGUUUGAUUCUAUUUUGUUGGUUUCUAGGAUCGACGUAAUGAUUAAUAGGGAUAGUUGGGGGCAUUAGUAUUCAAUUGUCAGAGGUGAAAUUCUUGGAUUUAUUGAAGACUAACUACUGCGAAAGCAUUUGCCAAGGAUGUUUUCAUUAAUCAAGAACGAAAGUUAGGGGAUCGAAGACGAUCAGAUACCGUCGUAGUCUUAACCAUAAACUAUGCCGACUAGGGAUCGGAUGAUGUUAAUUUUAUAAUGUACUCA